rnacentral:lncRNA from 1 species
ACGACUUCGCGCCAACUUCGCAAACGUAACUCUACAUGCAACGGAAACUAUUUAAUUAGUGUUUGAUAUAGACAGUAACUUAAUAUUUGAACACCCUUUUAUAAUUACGCUCAUGUUGGUAAACAUGGGAUUCAGACCAUCUUCGUCUCUAAAGCUUUCUGUUAAGAUCAUCUAAUUCAAGUUGUUUAUUCACGUACAACAAUAAUAUAACCAUAAAGAAAAAGGUCAAUACUAUUUGAAUUCAUCUAAAAACGGUCAUUUAUUUUGAACUGCACCAACGAAAAAUGAGUGUUACAUACAAUUUUGUAGUAAGUUAAGAUCAUUUACAAUUGAAAUCUUUCGUUUGAUUCUUCAUGUCAAACAUAAAAAAAAA